GACGAACGCUGGCGGCGUGCUUAACACAUGCAAGUCGAACGGAAAGGCCCUGCUUUUGUGGGGUGCUCGAGUGGGGAAUGGGUGAGUAACACGUGAGUAACCUGCCCUUGACUUUGGGAUAACUUCAGGAAACUGGGGCUAAUACCGGAUAGGAGCUCCUGCUGCAUGGUGGGGGAUGGAAAGUUUCGGCGGUUGGGGAUGGACUCGCGGCUUAUCAGCUUGUUGGUGGGGUAGUGGCUUACCAAGGCUUUGACGGGUAGCCGGCCUGAGAGGGUGACCGGCCACAUUGGGACUGAGAUACGGCCCAGACUCCUACGGGGGGCAGCAGUGGGGAAUAUUGCACAAUGGGCGGAAGCCUGAUGCAGCAACGCCGCGUGCGGGAUGACGGCCUUCGGGUUGUAAACCGCUUUCGCCUGUGACGAAGCGUGAGUGACGGUAAUGGGUAAAGAAGCACCGGCUAACUACGUG
rnacentral:rRNA from 1 species